CGCGUCCGCGGAGGUGACGACCGCAGCCACCUCUGGGGCCGCGGGCGUCAAUCUUUCCUGAGCCUUCCCCCAGCCCACCCACCUCAGAUCCCCGAAGUCUGCAACACCAGCCCAGGCUGGAAAGUCAAGGGGCGUCGGCGUCCCGCCAGCGCGCAUUCCCUUCACCUGUGCAGGGUGAGGAUGACUGUUUGAGCAGACAGGGAACUGAGGCGUGAAGAAGCACCUUCGAAGUCCAAGGAUACAAACUGAAGCAGGAUCCUAACACAGACCCAGGACAACAGCAGAGGAGAUAAUGGCCCAUAACUGCAUUGGUAAUGCAAAUAUGAUGUUUCUCCAGGGCUCCGUUAGCUUAGACAGACAGAGGCACAGAG